UUACCCUCUAAAAACUCACCUCUUCCACCCCCCUCCUCCACCUCAUUGGCCAGGGUCUCCAUCUCUCCUAUCUCCAUACUGGACACCAGCAUUCCUGCAGAAAAGUAGCAGAAAGAGAGAUGUAUUCCCUGCUGAAAGUGGAAAUUGCAAGACAUAGAGACCAUGUGAAGAUGAUAAAGGGGUCCCUGUUCCCCAGAUGCUGAGGUAGUGAUGAAGAAGCCAGAGCUGGCACUCACCUGUGGGAAGGUAGGUUUCAGAUGGGUCUGAACAUCUUCAGUCUGCUCUCCACUCCCUUGACCUCAGCAGAUCUUGGCUGGACUGGACUUGCAGUGUUUCCACCUCGUUCGAGUGAGUGGGUUGAACCCCAAAGGAGCUGGAUGGCCGGGAGAGCACCGCUGGGUGUCUGGCACCUUCUGCUCCUUGCAGCGGGAGCUGCCAGCAGCUGCGUGGCCUCAUCUAACACUCGUUUUGCUCGUCUCCCUUCAGGAGUUCCCUCCCGGCGCUCCUGCAGUGCCCCUGUCCUGUUUGUGGAAAUGCAGUUACUACAUCAUGGGAAUUGCCAUAUCUCCCUCCCUUUGGCCAGCUGCAGCAGAGGUGGCGCAAGAGGAAACAGGCAGCAGGCCGGCAGUGACAUCUCAUUGAGAUUGCACAGAGAAAUUGCUUCCUGCUCCCUGACGAGACCACACGUGUGCUUCAUCCCUUGCCAGCAAAGCCAGGACAGAGGGAGAGGUAAGCUCGGGGCCAGGGUGGGCUGUUUGGGCUGCUGUUGUCGUGUUCCGCUCCGUUCUGAGACCUCCUGCCCAUCACAUCCCCAGUUUGGGCUCGGGGAGAAGCGUGGCCCCAGCCCCAGGGGCAUUCAGUCUGAGUUUUUCCUUGCCAUCCUGCAUGUUCCCAGCUCUUAUUCAGGGCUGAAUAAAAAAUAAAAAAAAAAUUAAAAAAAAGGAACUCUAUAUUCAAGUAACUGCUUGGUGCAUGCUGCUUUGUGCACAAAGCACCCAAGUGGUAUGAAAACUUGUAGAAAUUUCCCAGAUGGGGAAAGAAGGGAAAGCUACAACAUCUCCUUUAAUGCAAUGAAAAAGUGGCAAAGUCAGACUGAUGAUGUAAUAUUGACUUCAACCUCGGGCAAUUUAAUCUUAGAUUUUUUCCUGGAUAUUACAAAAAAAGGUGCUGAAAUCAGCAAUAAACUCCUUUAAAAGUAAAUUAUUCCCUAUAAU
rnacentral:lncRNA from 1 species